GGCCUAGUAGCCAAGUGGUAAGGCGCGGCUCUGCAAAAGCUUCAUCGGCGGUUCGAUUCCGCCCUAGGCCU
rnacentral:tRNA from 1 species